GCUUUGGUGGCUCAGUGGUAAAGCAUCUGUCUGCAAAACAGGAGAUGAAGGUUCCAUCCCUGGGUA
rnacentral:tRNA from 1 species